ACUCAAAUGAUGAGUCCCAAAUAGGAUUAAACGCGCGUCCUGGAU
rfam:Schistosoma margrebowiei strain Zambia genome assembly, scaffold: SMRZ_contig0000345